UACGUAGGAUGCAAGCGUUGUCCGGAAUUAUUGGGCGUAAAGAGCGCGCAGGCGGUAUGACAAGUCAGAUGUGAAAGAGGCCGGCUUAACCGGCAAGGGUCAUUUGAAACUGUCAGACUAGAGUGCAGCAGAGGAUAGUGGAAUUCCCGGUGUAGUGGUGAAAUGCGUAGAUAUCGGGAGGAACACCAGUGGCGAAGGCGACUAUCUGGGCUGCAACUGACGCUGAGGCGCGAAGGCGUGGGGAGCGAACGGG
rnacentral:rRNA from 1 species